UCCGCAUUGGUGUAAUGGUAACAUAGCCGGUUUUCACUGAAAACCAUCAUACCCGGCGUAAGUCGCACUUAAGUAUGAUCUCAACUAUGUGAAUACUAAAAUUCCACAGAGCCCGGGGUUCAAUUCCCCGAUGCGGAA